GCCUUUGUAGCUCAGUGGUCAGAGUACUGGUCUUGUAAGCCAUGGGUCGGGUGUUCUAUCCUCCCUGGGAUCA
rnacentral:tRNA from 1 species